CCCUCAUGUUAGCUUACCUAAUAGUUAAGGGAAGCACUAUUUGGCAAGAUAUUAUUUAUUCAUAAUAUUAGUAUUCAUAACAUAAAAUAUUUCACAAAAUAUAUUUGAUAAAUUAUUAUGAUUAUACACAUACAUUACAUUUUGCUUCUUUUUCUCUUUUUCAUAGUAUUUUUUUUUUCCGGAAUCAACUCCGUUAUCGGUAUGAUCCGUGUUUCCAUUAGUAUUGGGCACAGUGUUGUUUUUCGCAUGUGCGUUAUCGGGUAUAGUUUUGAUGUGUGUCGUCUAAAUUAUAUAAAUAUUAUCCACUGGAUUUAACGAUUAUAUAUGGUGAGUUUACUAUUCAAGUUUUCUUUAAUUAUCUACUGAUCUUUUUUUGUCGAAAUGUAUGUGUGUAAUUCACAAAUAGGUAAUUUAAGUGUAACAAGUUGGAACACUCGACAUCCGAAAUGAUACAUUAUUUUUCCACAUUAAUUAAUAAACGUACGGAUACAUUUAUACUAUAACAAUUCUUUUUAUCUUUUUGUAAAUACACAUUUUAAAAUAUAAAAAAUGCAGUAUAAUUUACAUGUGGUGACUCAUGCAUGGCUGAACAUGCUUACAAACAUUGAACAUGCAUGGUUGAACUUGAUUAUAAAUAUUACCAUAUUUGUCUUGUGUACAAUAAUCAAUUUGUGUACACAAUGUUUUGUGCUUCGUAAAAAGAUUAGUCCUGAUUCAAUUGAAUCUUUGCAAUGAAUCUAUUUGUUUUUAGAAUUAUCUGAUUAGUUUUUUUGUUAUUAAAGUUGUUUAUUUCAAUAAUUUCUGAAAUUUCUUUCUGGAAAAUUUUUAAAAUGUUUAUUUUUUUUGUCUUCUUUUCUGAGACAAAAUGUGAUUUGUAUAUUGAGAAGGAUAUUAAUAGUUAAUAUGUAAUUAAUAUCAAAGUAUGCUAAAUCUUCAAUUUUGUACCCUGUUACUAAAUUUUCUAGGUUUAUAAUAUCUUUUUCAAUACCUAGGGAUUUCAUUAAUGUCAUUAUUAUUUUUAGAAAGUCAUUAUUAUAUGAGCAAUUGACAAAAAAAUGUUCAUAGUCUUCCUUUUUUUUACAAUGCUUACAUAAGUUGUCUUCAGUAAUUUUCCACUUGUUUAAAAGUUCAUUACUUGGCAGUAUGUAGUGAAUAAGUUUCCAUCUAAAUAUUUUCAAUCUAUUAUCAGUUAGAUAUUGAAAAAUGAAAACAAAAGUAUUUUUCAAUUUAGAAUUUAAGUGCUUCUCAAAUAUUUUUUCCCACAUAAGAAAACCAUUUGGUUUAUCACAACUAUUUUUCAGUGUGAAUAUUUUAUAGAGUUCUUUUGUACUCAUCAAGGGAGUAAUUGUCCUGUGCAUAAUUUUUAAGUCGUUUAUAAAUUUAACUUUAGUUUUGAAUGAAUCUUCAGUGCAAAGAAUUGUUUUCCAAUCAAUUGGUAUUGCUUUUUUUAACAUAUAUAUUUGCCUUAUCCAAUUUUGUUUAUAUUUUAGUUUAGUUAAAAUGAUAGUUUCAGAGAUAUUGCCCUGUUCAUCAAUUACAUCAUUUAUAUUGAUAAUGUCACUUUUUAUCCAAUCUUCAAAGUUUAAACAUUUUCCAUUAAACCGGAUAUUAUCAUUUCCCCACAAAACUUGUUUUCUAAUUUCAAGAAAAUUUUUAGGAUAUUUUGUAUUACCUCCCUUUACACUUAUCCAAUCUUUAAUUAGUUGUUUAUAGAAGUCCGGUAAAUAUUGUAACUUAUUUUUAUCAAUGUCGUUUAUAUUCUUUAAAUUCAUUUUAAAUACAAGAAGAUUUUUUCCUAAUUUGUUGAAGUAAAAUUUGGGAAUAAUUGUCCAGUUGUCAUUUUUAUUUUCACUUAAUUUAAGAAUCCAGUUGAUAUGCAGUGAUUUUAUAUAAGCAUCAAUGUCUGUCAUUUUAAGUCCACCUUCCAGAAAAUCAUUUGAAAGUGUUGAUCUUUUUAUUCUAUCUCUUUUGCCUUUCCAAAUAAAAUUGUAUAUUAAAGUUUUAAAGUCUUGCAACAUUUCCUUAGGAAUAAUAGUGUUUGAUGCAACAUAUGUUAGGUUUGGCAAAACUAAAGAUUUGAUGACAACUAUUUUUCCUAUGAUAGUAAGAUUUCUUUUACUCCAAUCAGAUAUUAUUUUUUUACUUUUUAACAGUUGUUUUUCAAAGUUAAGUUUUUGACAUUCUUGUUUAUUAUAACCAAAGUAAAUUCCGAGGCUUUUGAUUGGUGUAGUACACCAAUUUAUAUUUUCAAAUUUUUCCCGACUGUGUUUUAAUCGACCAAGCCAUAUUCCUUCAGUUUUUGUUUUAUUCAAUUUCAAACCUGAGAGAGUACCAAAUAUUUCUAUUAAAUUAAUUGCUAGAGAUACAUCUUUUUUUGAUUGAAGAAAUAGAGUAGUAUCGUCAGCUAAUUGGCAGAUUUUCAGGGUAUUACUCUUACCGUCUAAUUUUAUUUCUAGUCCUUUUAAGUUUUUAUUUUCCCUUAUCUUUAUUGCCAUAACUUCUACAGCUAGAACAAAUAGUAACGAUGAUAACGGACAUCCUUGUCGGAUCCCGCGAGAGCGCCCAAAACGGGAGGAAACCCAUCCAUUAUUAAUAAUGCAUCCUUUAAUAUCAGAGUACAUUGUCUGAACCCACCUUAUAAAAUUAUCUUUAAAUCCAAAUUUUUUUAAAGUCUCAAACAUGAAGUCCCAUUCUAAUGAGUCAAAUGCUUUUGUAAAAUCAAGAAAUAAAAUUGCCCCAUCAAUUUUGAAAGUUUCAGAAUAGUCUAUGACAUCUUGUAUUUGCUUAUAUGUUGAAACCAAUAUACCUAUUUUUGACAUAUCCUUUUUGAUCAGUAUGUAUAAUCUUUGGUAGCAGGGGUUUUAAUCUUUGUGCUAAGGCAUAAGCAAGUAAUUUAGCAUCAUAGUUUAAAAGAGUAAUAGGUCUAUAAUUGUCUAGAGAAAAGGGAUCAUUCUUUUUAUAAAUUAGAGAUAUUAAGCCAACUUUCUGAGUGUUAGAUAGUUCUCUUUUUUCAUAGCAGUAAUUAAAAGUGGAGACUAUAAAAGAUUUAAGUUCAUCCCAGAAUGUUCUGUAAAAUUCCACAUUUAGUCCGUCAAGCCCAGGUGCUUUAUUAAGUUUCAUUUUAAAAAUUGCAUCAGUACAUUCAUCAACAGUUAUUUCCCCUUCACAAGAAUUACUUUCACAGUCAGUUAAUUUCUUAUAUUCCUUGAGAGAAUCUAAAUACUUUUUAGUUGCUUCUAUUUCAGGGUUUUUUGUAGAAUAUAAAUUUUUAUAAUAAUUUGCUUCUAAUUUUAAUAUUUUGUCUUGAUCUCUUGUAAUUUGACCUUUAUCAUCAUAUAAUUGGGUUAUUGUUUUUCUACUCUGUCUUGAUUUUUCCAUCCCUAGAAAAUAUGCAGAAUUUUUCUCUCCUUCUUCAACCCAUUUUACCCUUGCUCUUAUUUGAUUCCCUUUUAUUUUUUCGUUAUAGAGUUUUCCUAUUUCAUUUUCUAUAUUAUCUAUUUCUUUUAAUAUAUUAUUGUUGUUUUUAUUAUUGCAUGUAUCAAUAAUAUUAUUUAAUUCUGUUAAAUUUUUUUCCAAUUUGCUGAUUAGGUUUUUUUUAUUCUUAGCUUUUGUUUUGCAAUAGCUUAUUGUCUGGUCUCUAACUUCUAUUUUGAAAUUGUCCCACAGUAUGUCAAGAUCUGUUCUUGUUUUAGCUUUGUUUUUAAAUUUUUUAAUUAUUUUCCUAAUUAUUUCAGCAUAGUCUUCAUUUUGAAGUACACUGCUGUUUAAUUUCCAGUAUCCUUUUCCUUUUUGGCCUCUGUUUAAAUUUAUUUUUAAAGAAACACAGUUGUGGUCUGUGUAUUGUAAUACUAUUGGUCUAAUGUCACAUGAAACACAGUUUUUGAAUACUUCUGGAGCUAUUAAAAAAUAAUCUAUUCGUGUUGACUCUGACCUAUCUUUUCUGCUCCAUGUAAAUUGAACUUUAUUUGGAUUUUUGGUUCUCCACACAUCAUUGAGUUUUAGGGACUUUAUAAGUUUAUUUAAAUUGUGAACUUUUUUCCUAUUUUUUUGUUGUUUAGUUUUACUUUUUGAAUCAAUUUGAGAUAAAAUUUCAUUAUGAUCUCCUCCUAAAAUAAGUUGACCUAAACUUUUUUCUUCUAUUAAUGUAUGGACAGUUUUGAAAAAAGUAUUUCUGCUUUUUGGAUUGUUUGGUGCAUAAAUAUUAACUAUUGUUAUUAUAGUAUCAUUUAUUUCAAUAUUAACAAGUAAAAGUCUUCCUUCUUUAUCUUUAUAGUCAUCAAUUAUUUUAAAGUUUAAAAUUUUAUUCAGCCAUAUGGCAAUACCUCUUGAAUUGCUAGAACCAUUACUUAGUAAAAGUUUACCUUCAAAUUCAGUAUUUAAAUUGUUUAUUAAAUUAUCUGUAAAGUGUGUUUCUUGCAUUAGAAGAAUGUCACAUUUUUGGGAUUUUGACCAUUCAAUCAAUCUUUUUCUUUUAUCAGAUUGUUGCAGACCUUUACAAUUAACUGUACAGAUAUGAAGAUGUUUGUUAAAUACCAUGGUUGGUGAGUAGUUAAUUUAUUUGUAGUCUUUUUAAAUACGGUGUUAUGUGUAUUUUAAAAGUUAACAUAGGUAAAUUCCCGUUGAGUGAUACAAUUUUCGAGUUCAUCCGUCACCGGCAAAAACUAGUCAAUUAUACACGCCUUUAUGACGUCAUUUACCAGAUAGAGGGGCUCGCCUGUAUCCCUGCACUAUUUACGUUCAUCAAGCGUCUUAGUGAUCGUCUUUGUGCAGGAUAAACUAGAAAUAAUGGUUGCUCUGUAGGUACUUACUGACAUUUCCCUAAUGACAGCAGUGUUGAUUGUCAAUUUUGAGAAUUCAAUUUGCCGAAUAAUUCGUACAAUAUAGAAUUAUAGUUUUCCAACCACUCGCUCAACAUCGAAAGGAAGUGACGACGCCCCUAAACGCACAAAUGACGAUGAUAAAGGCGCGUAUAAUUGACGAGUUUUUUCCGGUGACGGAUGAACUCGAAAGUGGUCUAUUGGGUCACACUGAAGUUGACCUUCACAGAGCACGAGACUAUAAAUAGACAUCUUUUCAGUUGUUUUAUUUUUAUCACUUUUCUCUGUUCUAGGACAUUUAUCUACGAUUUGUCUUAUGAAUAAGCAUAAGUUAUUGGUUUUUCUUUUACAUUUGAAACUUAAAUUGUUUAUUUUAUAGUUUAUACAAUUUUUACUAUUGACAAUGUUAUGAUUGUCAUGAUUGUUAUCUUUGUAAAUAAUGUUUAUAAACAGGGUAAAUUUUUUACCUGUAUUUGUAUUUACAAUCCUUUUGCAAAAAGGAUGAAAUGCGUAUUUCGUUUGAAUGUUUUUACAUGUAUUCACAAGUAAAGUGUUAACACAAUUUGUUUAUAUUAAAAACAUACAAUAACAAGUUACAUAUACAUUCGUAAAUAGAUACAAUCUAUUGUUUUCUUUUACAUAUACCCCAUAGGUCAUUAUUUGGGUCAUCCAUGUGACUUCAGAAACAGACAUUGACAUGUGCCUCUUAAUUUUAGCACACUCAAUGUUUGUUAAAGGGAAACUUCGCAAAAAAAUCAAAAAUUGAUAUUAUGUUCAUUCUGUAUAAAAAUGCUCAAAUUCAUAGAUAUUAAAGUUUUAUUCUGCUAGAUAAGAGAUCACCAUCGAUUUUAAAUUUAGAGUAUCAAUUCUCUGCGGUCAGCCAUUUUGUUACCUUCUCCGAUUUGCCCUGAUAUGUCUAAGGACCAAAACCACAGUAACCCGAUGUAGUCGUAAUUGCGUGUCGAUAUCUUGUCAAUCGUACGGUUGUUUUAUCCGACUAGUUAACUAAGUUGAAACGGAAAAUUUUCUUAUCUUAUUUUGAUAACCAUGAUCGACGUCAUGAUCUGUUAUUUAUAACAAUAAUGAUAAUAUUGGAAUUAGUUAAAAAGUAAAAAUUUCAAUAAAUAAGUGUUCCGUGAAACUUGAAUUGUUUUCGGAAAUCUAAUAAGUUCAUAAUUCUUUUAUGCAAUAAAUUUAAUUCAAAUAAAUUAGGAUCUUCGCUCCACUGAUCACCCGCAUGGCUAAAGGUAUUACUCCCAAAGGUAUUGCAGGGGGUGUGAGGUGACACGUCCAGGUAUUCAAGCGAUUUCCUGUCGAGCUUGCAAAUUCAUCAUCGUUUCACUUCUUAGGGUAUUGAUCAGUGUACACGGCCGAUAACUUAAAACUUUCCAUUUUGAACUAUUAGGUGUAUAAUAUGCAUCUCUAUCUUGCGUGUCCGAAAGUGAUAUAAUAUACUAGUCAUUACUAAACUCAUACGCUUGUUUAUGAAUAACAUUUCUGGUGUAAAGAAAAUUAUUUAUAAAAAUAUAAAUAAUACCUAAAAAUAAACAACAGAUUUGAUGAAAUAAAAAUCUAUAUACAUAUUUUUUCCAAGGGUUAAUUUGGUAAAAUGUAAUUUAUACUCGUUUUCAAUGGUGAAGGACAGAUCGGACCAUACCAGAAAUAUUGAUUGAAAAAAGUGUACGCACUUGUCGACCAUUCGUAUAUACGCCUGGAUAAUAAGUUACGGAACUAUAGCGCAAAUUCAAAUAUAUACAUGUAUACAUUGUACAUAAGAAAGAAACAUACAUUUUGUGUAAAUUGGGGUAAAAGUUUUUUUAAUAGACUAGUCCACGUAUGCCAACAGUAUGUAAUCAUCAAAUGUCGAAAGACUAUUGUAUACCAAAAGAAGAAGAAGAAGAAGAUAUUUAAAUACAGGUCGAUAUAUAACUUUCUUUGGCUCAUCGUAGUCAUGGACAUUUAUAUAUCAAUUAGAUUGUUCUCGAAUAAAGGAAGAAAUUCGUCAUCAUCACAAUUGUUCCGACAUGCAUGUAAUAUGUACGCAACUGGACGUACACUAAUAAUCCCUAAGGGAUGUGAAUAUUUUCCAGGAAAACUAUAGAGUAUCAAAGUUUCAAAUCAAUUUCAGGAUUUAUUUUCUUUCUUGAUAUUCAAUGACAGCAAUUAAAGAACAAACUGCUUGUCCGCUUUAGUGGUAUUCUUGCCAGUUGAAACAGACUUAUAAUAACAUUAAACAAUAGGGAAAGAUGACAUUAAAUUCGUUCUGUUUUUUUUAUACAUCGUUGGUCAAAUAGCUUAAGUAUUAUAUAUAGUUGGGCCCGAUAUAGUUACGGUGUGAGACGAAGACUAUUUUGUUAAGGACAUUCCCGAUUAUGUAUAUAAAUUUUGUUGAUGUUUUUCACACUUGAAAAGCAAAUAUGUUCGUAAAUUUCGAUUCCAUUUCAAAAAGAUUCUUAAAUUUUCUGUCAAUUUUUUAAAGCAUUUUUUUUCAAAUAUCUGAAGUAUUCGUGCGUUGUGAGGUUUGAAAUAUUUUGAUGAGAACAUUAAUUCCCCAAAAGGUAAUUAAAGAUAACUUUGGAUGGACCAAAUUAUAUAAUUGCAAUUGUUAAUGAUCUGUUUGAAAUAUUUAAGGCUGCCUGAUCCUAAUCUAAAAUAGUACAAUUUUUAGUUCAUACACUCGUGAUUAGAAGGCUGGUUUUAUUUAUGAAUUUAUACUUCAAUUAAAAUAAUUAAGUAUUUUAUCGUUACUGAAUUAAUCAAAAGUCAUAAUUCAUUUAAAAGUGAUCUUAUCAUGCUUAUGCAAAAUAUAAAAAUAUACAACAGCUAUCCAGUUAUUGUGCGACCUUAUUAUUCCCGUUAAUUAAUUUUAAUUAUUUUUUUUUACAUUUCUGUGUCUAAAACUUUGAUAUAUAUAUCUUCAUAAAGCCAAUGCAUUACAUCGGUACAGAGAUAACAAAUACAACAAUAAAUAUUUACAAUAUGUACAAAACAAGCGAGAGAGGUUACAAAAGUUACAAGCCAGGAGUACAAACACUAGUAUUUAUAUUUUUUAUAAAAGAACAAAGCUUCUUCAGAACUGGUUUUCUUGUACUUGACAUAAGUUCAGAGAAUUUAACUGUAUUUUGCCGUUUUGUAAAAUAUGCAGUUAAAAACUCUUUGCGUUUUUGAUGGAAAAAAUUGCAUUCAAAUAUAAAAUGAUAUUCGUCACCUAUUUGUCGAUUGUUACAUAGACUGCAAAAGCGGUUUUCUCUGAUCACGUUUUGCCAUCUUCCUGUUUCAAUCGGCAGCUUAGUAUUAGUCGUUCUAAAUCGACAAAAAACAAUAGCGUCUUUGAAGUCCAAAAUAUUAAAAUAUUCUUCGAAUUCCAAGUUUUUCUUAAAAAUUUUGUAGUUAAUACCUUUUGGUGAAUUUUGAAUGAGGGAAUUCCAGUUCUGAAUAUAUUGAUCUAGCAAUCUCUGCUUAACUGACUCCCGUUUACAAUUCAUACGAAAUGUUGUUCACACCUGCAAUGCCAGUAAACCGUGACACCUAGAUUUCACUGAAUGAGGAUCAAAGGAUUAGAAUUACAUAAUGCUAAUCUUUUAAUUACCUUGAGUUAACCUACGCAUUCAACAUUCUUUAGGUGUCACAAAACAAUACACAUUUUAUUUCCACCGUACAAGCAAGUGAAAAUGUUUGAUGGAAUGAAGCAAAAAGGUCAGAAUACAAACAUGUAUUUUGAAUACAUUAUUGAUCAUGUCAAUUUCAUAUGUUUGUUUAAAGUAUUUGUAAAACAAAAUCAUAAAAAUUUUCUAUUGUAUGAAUUAAUUUUAUUAUUAAAAUUUGUUUUAAAAUAUCCACACGAUCUAAUUUUAAAAGUUGCAUGGCUAUCACUUAUUUUUCGUUGGUUAAUAGCUACACCAAAUGUCGUCGAUGCGCUUUAAAUCGCGUUAUUAGAUGGUUAACGAACAAGACUUAAAUGAGAUAUUUUCACUCCCGGCAUGCAUCAAAGACUUAAACUACGUCACAUAAGUCAGGAAGUUUAAAAAAAUAAAAUUAAUAAUUCCCAAUUUUCUUCUUUAUUAGAUUUCAUAUCAAAAUAAAACUUGGUGAAUAUGUUUUUUAUGGUAUUAUGAACAUAAUAAGAUGAAAAGUGAAAAAUCGCGAAUUAUCCCUUUAAACAAAUACAAGUACAAUUAUUUAUGUGUUUCAUAUUGAAAUACAUAUGCAAAUCAAUUUUAAAAAACAGAACAAUAUUUAUAUACAUACAUGGUAAAAGAUAUUUAUUUUUAUUUUUAGGAUAAGAAGACCUCUCUGACUGAAUUUGAAUGAAGAAAUAUGAACAGAUUAAUAAAAAUUGGAUUUUUUUCCAAUGUACUUUACUGGAAACAUUUAACAGUGUGCUUGAUAAUAGUGAUUGUAAAAAAUAAGUAGUUUGAUACCAAUUAAAUGUUUUGUAUUUUACAGUUUCUUUACUUUUUAAUCUGUGAUAGGUAUCACUUGCCAAAAUCAGAAAAUUAGAAUACAGCGGACUACAUUCUAAAUAUAUACCAGCAAUGAG
rnacentral:lncRNA from 1 species